UUAAAGACAAAGAAAAGAUAAGUAAAUUUAAAGAGUAACUGAAAGAGAGCCGACGAAUUGGUGAAAGUUGGUGUUACGAAUAAGUUGAAAAUGGUCUUGGAGUCAUAGAAUGGGUGAGCAAGUAUGUAAAUUCAUUCCGGGUGUGCCCGAUAUAGCACAGAGUUUUGUUAAAAAACAGAACUUAAAGAGAAUAAUUUAGUGAUAGAUUAUUGAAUGCGAGUGGUAACACGAUUUUCGUCCCGCAA
rnacentral:ncRNA from 1 species